ensembl:lncRNA
AGUUUGCGGUUUCACCAUGGCUGAGAUUUGGUUGGCCAACAUGAGAAUCUCUCUGGAAGAGUCUAAAUCACAGGCCCAAGGAUACACCCAUAGUGGCUCCUGUCAACCAAUGGAGGAGGAAGAUCAAGACAGGAGGCUGGAUGGAUGGAGAGGACAGAGCAAAAACACAUAAUGCAGCCCUCUCUCUCUGUCUCUGCUCCUCCACCGAGACUCACUCACUGCUCCGGAAAGAAAGAGUAGGAGAUGACAGGAGAGAGAGAUGGAGAGAAUGCGACAGGAAGAGGAAGAGUAGAGAGAGAAGAGGUUCACAGGUGAGACAGGAUGGUAAUUAUCAAUUGUGCGAGUCAAGGAUGUGCAGGUGUGUGUGUCUGUGUCUCAGUGCAUGCGGAUGAAUCUAAGUGACAGUUUAAGAGAAUAAAUCUUUCUUUUCUCGCUCUACCUAUAGUUUG